rnacentral:rRNA from 1 species
GACGAACGCUGGCGGCGUGCUUAACACAUGCAAGUCGAACGGAAAGGCCCCUUUGGGGGUACUCUAGUGGCGAACGGGUGAGUAACACGUGAGUAACCUGCCCUUGCCUCCGGGAUAACUUCAGGAAACUGGGGCUAAUACCGGUUAGGAAUCCUUGCUGCAUGGGGGGGGUUGGAAAGCUUCGGCGGUUUUGGGUGGACUCGCGGCGUAUCGGCUUGUUGGUGGGGUAGUGGCUUACCAAGGCUUCGACGGGUAGCCGGACUGAGAGAGCGACCGGCCACCUUGAGUCUGACAUGCGGCCCAGGCACCGACGGGUGGCAGAAGGGGGGAAUAUUGAACAAGGGGCGGCGGCCUGGUGCAGCAGGGCCGCGGGCGGGAAGACGGCCUUCGGGUUGAAGACCGCUUUCAGCAGGGGCGAAGCUUGUGGUGACGGUACCUGCAGAAGAAGCACCGGCUAACUACGUG